UCCAAAAACAAAGUGGUGGAUCAAAUAUGGCGGAUGGGUUGUUGAAAAAUUGGGAAAUGAGAGAGGUUCCGUAGCUACGCGGGAAGGUCGAUCGACUACGAAGCCAAAGGUACUCUCACGGGACGGUUUCCCGUACGUUGACUCACAAAAGUGGUUGUAAUUGAAAAAAGUGCAACAUGAUGCAGCCAAUUUUUCAAGUGCAGCUGGAUGAAACUAUAAACUAUGGCUCCUGUAAAUUUGAAAGCAGGCCCUCAUAGGCCGCAAAAGUUUCGACUAUAACUUUACAGUAAAUGCGUUCCAUUUGCUUUCAUAA